CUCAGGAUGAACGCUAGCUACAGGCUUAACACAUGCAAGUCGAGGGGAAACGACAUCGAAAGCUUGCUUUUGAUGGGCGUCGACCGGCGCACGGGUGAGUAACGCGUAUCCAACCUGCCCACCACUUGGGGAUAACCUUGCGAAAGUAAGACUAAUACCCAAUGACGUCUCUAGAAGACAUCUGAAAGAGAUUAAAGAUUUAUCGGUGAUGGAUGGGGAUGCGUCUGAUUAGCUUGUUGGCGGGGUAACGGCCCACCAAGGCGACGAUCAGUAGGGGUUCUGAGAGGAAGGUCCCCCACAUUGGAACUGAGACACGGUCCAAACUCCUACGGGAGGCAGCAGUGAGGAAUAUUGGUCAAUGGACGAGAGUCUGAACCAGCCAAGUAGCGUGCAGGAUGACGGCCCUAUGGGUUGUAAACUGCUUUUAUAAGGGAAUAAAGUGAGUCUCGUGAGACUUUUUGCAUGUACCUUAUGAAUAAGGACCGGCUAAUUCCGUGCCAGCAGCCGCGGUAAUACGGAAGGUCCGGGCGUUAUCCGGAUUUAUUGGGUUUAAAGGGAGCGUAGGCCGGAGAUUAAGCGUGUUGUGAAAUGUAGACGCUCAACGUCUGCACUGCAGCGCGAACUGGUUUCCUUGAGUACGCACAAAGUGGGCGGAAUUCGUGGUGUAGCGGUGAAAUGCUUAGAUAUCACGAAGAACUCCGAUUGCGAAGGCAGCUCACUGGAGCGCAACUGACGCUGAAGCUCGAAAGUGCGGGUAUCGAACAGGAUUAGAUACCCUGGUAGUCCGCACGGUAAACGAUGGAUGCCCGCUGUUGGUCUGAAUAGGUCAGCGGCCAAGCGAAAGCAUUAAGCAUCCCACCUGGGGAGUACGCCGGCAACGGUGAAACUCAAAGGAACUGA
rnacentral:rRNA from 1 species